UUACCUGACAGGCACAAGUGACAGAACUCA
rnacentral:piRNA from 1 species